AUGGGAGCUCAUGCAAUGCUUGGAUUGCUCACAACGCUUGCCCUUUGGUGCCUUGUGAUCACCAACAUUACCAGGGGCACAGCUGCAUGCAUCGCCAUUGAGAGGGGUGCACUGGCUGCAUUCAACGUCAGCAUCACUGAUCCUGGUGGGAGGUUACGCUCAUGGCAAGGAGAAAACUGCUGCAGCUGGGGCGGUGUGAGCUGCAGCAAGAAGACCGGCCAUGUCGUCAAGCUGGACCUUGGUGGUUACUCCCUCAAAGGUGAGAUCAGUCGAUCCUUGGCCGGUUUGACCAGAUUGGUCCACCUCAACUUGAGCCAUGGGGAUUUUGGUGCCGUGCCCAUCCCAGAAUUCAUAGGCUCUUUCAGGAUGUUGAGGUCUCUUGAUCUGUCACACGCCGGUUUUGGCGGAACGGCUCCUCCUCAACUUGGUAAUUUGUCAAGACUCAUCUAUCUUGAUCUGGGUUCAUUUGGAGGUCCUGGGAUCAUUGUGGAUAAUUUUCAUUGGGUUUCCAAGCUGAAUUCCCUGAGGUAUCUGGACCUCAGUUGGUCCUAUCUUGCUGCUUCCGUGGAUUGGCUGCAAGCAGUGAACAUGCUCCCGUCACUCCAAGUGCUUCGCCUGAAUGAUGCUAGUCUUCCUGCCACCGACCUCACUUCUCUUUCUCAGGUCAACUUCACUUCUCUUAAGCUACUUAAUCUGAUGAAUAACGAUCUGAAUUCUUCCAUGCCGAAUUGGAUUGGCGGGCUAUCUGCCCUCUCAGAGUUGGACAUGACUAGUUGCGGGCUUUCAGGCAUGAUUCCUAAUGAGUUUGGCAGGCUGAUUUCACUUACGUUCAUAGGACUAGGGGAUAACAAGUUGACUGGAGGAAUACCAACAUCAGUUAGUAAGUUGUGCAACUUGGUUCAAAUCAAAUUGUCCGGGAACAUCUUGUCAGGAGAUAUUGCAAAAGUAGCAAAGAGCCUGUUUCCCUGUAUGAAGCGGCUGCAGGUCCUUGAACUUUCUGGUAACAAGUUAACUGGAAACCUAUCUGGUUGGCUUGAGGGCAUGUCAGGAUUAAGAAUCCUUGACCUCAGUGCGAACUCACUGUCUGGAGUUGUGCCACAUGGUAUUGGUAACCUAUCAAGCUUGACAUACUUGGAUAUUUCCUUUAAUAGAUUUAAAGGCACACUAUCGGAACUCCACCUUGCCAAUUUAUCAAGAUUGGAUACUUUAAAUCUAGCAUCAAAUUCGUUCGAGAUUGUCAUCAAACAAAGCUGGCUGCCACCUUUUCAGCUCAUAAAUCUUGGACUGCAUGAUUGCCUUAUAGGACCAGAGUUUCCUUCUUGGUUGCAAUCACAAACUAAAAUCGAGAUGAUUGAUCUGGGCAGUGCAGGCAUCAGGGCUCCGUUACCUGACUGGGUCUGGAACUUCUCUUUGUCAAUGACUAGCUUAAAUGUCGCAACAAACAACAUAACUGGCAAGUUGCCUGCAAGCCUGGAGCAAUUGACAAUGCUGACAACUCUAAGCAUGAGGAAUAAUAAGCUUCAGGGGAACAUUCCAGAUUUGCCGCUUAGCAUCCGAGUGUUGGAUCUAUCCAACAACAACUUAUCGGGAUCAUUGCCACAGAGCUUUGUUGUUAAAGAAUUGCAUUACCUAUCUCUAUCAAAAAAUUCCAUUACUGGAGUAAUCCCAACAGAUUUAUGCAACAUGAUAUCCCUGGAACUGAUUGACCUAUCUGAUAACAACCUUUCUGGAGAGCUUCCCGAUUGUUGGCGUAAGAACUCGGAACUGUAUGUCAUAGACUUUUCAAGCAAUAACUUGUGGGGAGAAAUACCAUCUACGAUGGGUUCUCUAAAUUCCCUUAUGUCACUGCAUCUUAGCAACAACAGCUUGUCUGGAAUAUUGCCCACUUCAUUGCAGUCAUGUCAAAUUUUGGUGUUCCUUGAUCUUGUAGGAAAUAAUUUGUCAGGAAACAUACAAAGAUGGAUAGCUGGCAGUCUAAAAUCUCUGAUAUUUCUUAGUUUAGGGUUCAACCAGUUUUCUGGUGAAAUACCUGAAAAAUUGUCCCAACUUCCUGUUCUGCAGUUAUUGGAUCUUUCUAACAACAAACUCUCUGGCCCUGUACCACAUUUCCUAGGAAAUUUAACAUCCUUACACCUGGUCCCUGAAUACCAAGACUUGACAAGGCCUUUCCUUCAGUACAAGAUUUAUGGUGUUGGGGGUGCUUACUUUUCUGUUUAUACAGAUGCCAUGGUGAUAACGUGGAAAGGUCAGAUGCUUAUUUUUCAGAGAACAUUGGUGGCGGGAGUUGACCUGUCAGCAAACCAGCUAACUGGUGAGAUUCCAAGUGGAAUAGGAUUUCUAUCACAUAUAUAUUUUUUGAAUCUGUCAAGGAACCACAUUGGAGGAAGUAUCCCUGGUGAACUUGGGAAUUUGGUGGAUUUAGAGUCACUCAAUCUCUCAUGGAAUGAUCUAUCAGGUCCAAUUCCUCACAGCUUGGCGUCACUAGACAGUUUGUCCACCCUGAAUUUGUCCUACAAUGAUCUCUCAGGAAAGAUACCGUCGAGUAAUCAGUUCGCAACUUUUGGUAAUUACUCUUUCUGGGGAAAUGAAAAUCUCUGCGGGCCUCCACUUUCCAGAGUCUGUGUACCCGAGAGUAACAGAUACCGGCAUCUUAAACUUCAACUCAGAUUUGACACGCUGACAUGUCUAUUUACUCUGCUCGGGUUUGCAUUCGGAAUCUCCACUGUAUUCACCACCUUCAUAUGCAGCGCGGUCGCGAGGAAGGCUUAUUUUCAGUUCACCGACAGGGUACUCAGCAAGCUGUGCACUGCUAUUAAGAUGAAGGUUAGCAUCAACAGGAUGAUGCAAGCAGGAAGAGACCCCUCCUUGGCGAUCCGGAGUCAGGACUCUGUCACCUGCUACGAGCUGGAACAACCUUCCACUGCUACCAUAACUGCAGGGACUGAGGAGGCACAAGAUAGAGAUACCUAA
rnacentral:rRNA from 1 species